rnacentral:lncRNA from 1 species
GGCCUCCGGUGACCAGUGGCAGGGGGCCAAUAAUGUGUCUACUGCCCCCCAAUAAUAUUAUUAUUGCCUCCCAAUAAUCUUAUUAUUGCCAACCAAAUUAUAACCAACUAGGCAACUAUGAAAGUUAUAGACCCAAAAACAGCCCAGAAAUAUCUUCAUGAAAUCAGCCCAACACCAGCCAUCUGGGUAACCCAGAUUACUUUAGGCACCCAAAACAGGGCACCAAAUCCCAGCCGGCCACUGCCACACGUAGUUUGCAGCCAUCCCCGCCACUCGCGUCAGCAGACCCUCCGCCGUCAGCGACCUGAUCUCUUCCACCGUCAUCGUUGAUGUGGCCGUACGGAACCAGACCGAGCAAUCGACCUGCCUGGAUCUCCUCCACCGUUGUCGUCGUAGAUGUGGCCGUACGAAGCCAGACCAAGCAACAGACCUGCCUGGAUCUCCUCCACCGUCGUCGAUGUGGCCGUACGGAACUAGGCCGAGCAACCGACCUGCCUGGAUCUCUUCCACCGUCGUCGUCGUCGAUGUGGCCGUACGGAACCAGGCCGAGCGACCGACCUGCCUGGAUCUCUUCCAUUGUCGUCGUUGUCAAUGUGGCCGUACGGAGCCAGACCGAGCAACCGACCUACCUGGAUCUCCUCCACCGUCGUCAUCGAUGUGGCCGUACGGAACUAGACUGAGCAACCGAUCGAUUUGCCUGGCUCUCCCUCGAUUCCGGCAAACCAAACCCAUUUUCAAACCCGAACCCGACGUCGGAUC